AUGCCACCGAAGUCCAACUUGAUGAACCAAUGAGUUUUAUUGGAUCAUAAAUGACUCAAAGACAGUUGCGUCACCCAGCCCUGGCAUAGGUGACAGACAGAUCAUAAGGCUGGGAACCUGGAGCACACUGCACAGCCUGCAGGCAGCUCAACAGGUUGGAGAGAGGAUCCUUCCCAGGGGCCUCAGUUGGUCUAAACCUCUCACAGGCAACUUGGUGGGUUUCUGCUGCUUCUUGGGUUGGUCUCAGAGUCUUCUUUGUGACUUGUAAUGUCUGAGGGUCUUCUCAGCUUAGUUUCUUCCUUCCCUUAUAGUGGGGACUCUGGUUUUAUUUUUUUACUCUGGCAGAAGGGCCUCGAGAAUCUGGUCAGUUUCAGGGACUUCCUGUGGGAAUUUUAAAUUCUUUUCUUUCCCGUUUUAAGAGUUUUCCAUAAAGGAUAGAAUGUAUCCAUCUCGGAGCUAAACUGCUACACAAUAUUCGCGAGCAGAAGCAAACCUAUGGCAGCCUUCACGCCCAGACCCACUCCCACUGCUCUCUUUAACCUCUGUCAGGACAAUCUACUCCAGUCAAGUCAAGGCAGCUUCUGACUUUGCCUGUGCUGUUAGAAUACAGUGUGCCACUUCUGAGGCUCAGAAGUAUGAGGCAGCCUGAACGCACCUGCCCGAGGCUGCAUAUCCGGCAGGUCACAGGAUCAGGUGGGAACUUGGACGUUCAAGCACCAGGGAUGCUCUCCCACAGAUGGUGGAAGGGCCAGCCCAGCCUACCGCAUUUCUUCUCCGAGAGAUACUUUUAUCAUCUGUAUGAUUAAUUCCAAACUAUCAUAAUAAGUAACUGUACUUUUGGAUGCUUGCCCAACUUGACUCUCUUCUAGAACAUUCUGCUUCAGGUACACAUGCAAACAUAAUCAUUGCAUUUUAGGAGUGAGGUUAUUUUCUCACUUUAGGGACAUUGUCCUUUCCCAGCCAACCACCUGUGACGUAUACAUUAAAGUUCCUUUUUUUUUUCCAUGAACUCAAUUGACACAGUUUGAGGAAGCUUGACAAAUGUGGCCUGUGCAGCCCACCACUCUAAUUAUGGUGGUUCGUCUGUCUCUAUAGCCUUUUUCCUAUGCCCUAGGUCAAUCCCUCCACCCACAGCCACAGCAGGCACCGGCUGGGGGUCUUGUGUGAGAGGGGAAUCACAUGUGUUCUUUUGUGCCUGCUCUCGUUCUGCCCAGCAGGUUGGCAGGAUUGUUUCCUGCUGCUCAUCCACCUUACUGAGACAGGACUUUGCUACACAGCCAGUCUCUCAUUCUGCAUCCACUCGCUUGGCAGCGGGUACUCGCCAGGCCCCACAGGGUUCUAUGAACGUUUGCGUAAGUGCCGUGGAAUGUGCUCUUCUGUAAGAAGGAACCAUGGCACAUAGGACAAGCAUAUGUUUAACUGUUAGUGCGUUGUCAAUUUCUUCACUGGCCAAACCCUGUCACGCCUCAACCAGCAACCCUACACUGAACCCCCUGCACCCUGACUGGUACAGCGGCAAGGCUGUGGACUCUCACUGGGGUGGAACACACGCUUUACACAGGCCUCUUUGCCAUAUGUUUCUGUUUUUAACUAUUUUUAAAAUGAGGCUACUGUCUUUUUUUUUUUUAAGCGAAUGGAGGAACAAGAGACAAGGCCUAGUGCGGUCACCCCAGCAGACUUAAGACACAGGUACAUGCAGGGAUGUGGGAUGCAGAGAGGGAGCCACACAUGGGGGGGGUAUGGCUCACAGGGAGGCACGUAUACACAUGUAGACACACAGAACGCGUGUUACAAGUUCAGACAACCUUCAAGUCCAUGCAGCCAUGGGGGGAAGUACUUCUAGUCACACACAUGCUUUGCUGUGAGAAUGUCCCCUGUUUCCCACACCCCCCGGGCAGGUAUGUGAAGGACAAAGAGGUCCCACACUCUACACCAGCAAGCAAAUCUGCUGCCACUGAAUCAUCAGGAAGGAGUGCAGAGAUUAGUGACAGCUAAAGGAAGCACCAAGUCCAGCUCCUAACAGCCUGUGUAAGUGCAGGUAUGUGAAGGACAAAGAGGUCCCACACUCUACACCAGCAAGCAAAUCUGCUGCCACUGAAUCAUCAGGAAGGAGUGCAGAGAUUAGUGACAGCUAAAGGAAGCACCAAGUCCAGCUCCUAACAGCCUGUCAGAAACCUCUGUGUGUGCAGCGAAGACCCCACAGCCCAUACAGACAAUGCUCUCAGCGGUUCUCAACUUCCUGGUGCUUCAACUCUUCAAUACAGUUCCUCAUGUUGUGGUGAUCCCAGCCGUAAAACCAUUUUCACUGCUA